UCAAAAUAUUUGAACAAAGGGGCGAAAAAUGACUGCUGGAAACGAAAAUAGAGUGAGCAAACAGUUCCCAAUUCGUUUUGACCUCUCAUCACGAACCCUAACUCGGAAUUUGAUUCUGAUCGCAGGGAUCUGAAACGACGAGGUUUUAAUAUGAUCCACUGGAUUACUGGCUCCGUUGUUGAAAGGCGAGUAUGAAUUAAUAUCGAUAUUGAGAAAUUCGUCUUGUCUGAGCGAAGCAAAACGGAGAUGUACCUGAAGAAGCCGUUGUGGAGUGAAACAACAGAGAAAGGGGACGGAAGUGCAACGAUAGAGGAUGACGGUGUUGUGAGCGAAGUCGGAAAGUCGCUGCAGCAGCAGAGAGUGUAUAGAGAAGUCACUCUCGCCCUCAGAACGGGGCUCAGAGAUGCACGUGCUGAAUUCUCCUUUCUCCGUGUUCGAGCUCUCCGUUCCAUUCUCAAGUUCCUCCGUUCCGUUGCGGAGGCUGAAUCAACAAUUGACCUCUUUAAUCAAACCCAAUGCGUUCCCCAACUCCAAGUGGUUCCGGUUUUGUUUCAGCACUCGCUCAAAGAGAGUGGGGAUGAUUACAAUGAGAGUAAGGUAGGUGACUUGAGCCAUAUAUUUGGUGUGGAACCAAUGAAGGUGACGAGUCCAUCUACUGAUGCUGAAGUUGCGCUUGCUCUUAGAGUCUUGGAAGGGUGUUGUUUGCUUCAUCCAGAGAGUACAAUACUUGCCCAUCAAAACAAUGCCAUUCAGGUUUUAAUGAAUAUAUUAUCCACUCGUGGAGUAUUGGAGCAAGGUGCCUGCUUAGAUGCUUUAAUCUCGUUGAUGGUGGAUUCAUCAUCCAAUCAAAUGGAUUUCGAGAAAUGUAAUGGUAUUAUGGAAGUUGCUGACCUUCUAAGAGACAAACAAGUGGAUGAAAAUCUCAGGUUAAAAUGUGGAGAGUUUUUGCUGCUUCUCAUUGGACAUGUGAAUGGAAGAGAUUCGCCUCCUUUGGCAACUAUACAUGAAGAUACAAGGCGUCUUCUGGGGGAGAAAUCAGCCUCCUUGAUAUGGGCAGCCAGUCAGUUUGGCUCAACACUGGAUCCAGAGCAGAGACUAACAGCCCUCCAGAUCCAGGCUCGAAGGGUCCUUGAAUCGUUAGACUUGUACUGAAUGUUAAGGAUAACACCUACGAUUUUAGGCAAAUGAGAAUGUGCUCCUUGUUGUUUCCAAGUUUUGUUAAAAUGUGGAGAGUUUUUGCUGCUACUCACUGGACAUGUGAAUGGUAGAGAUUCGGCUCCUUUGGCAAGUAUACAUGAAGAUACAAGGCGUCUUCUGGGUGAGAAAACAG